rnacentral:tRNA from 1 species
GGGUCGGUGCCCGAGCGGCCAAAGGGAGCAGACUGUAAAUCUGCCGGCACAGCCUUCGGAGGUUCAAAUCCUCCCCGGCCCACCA